rnacentral:lncRNA from 1 species
GUUUAUCGUGUGGUUCUGUUGUUUUCUCGUAUAUACCCAUACCUUCUUUAAUUCAUGUUCGAAUGUCUCUUUUUUUCGAACCUGUUCAGUUGGGUUGUUGUCUUUUUCAUGGUUACGUCACAUCACCAUGUGCAUGUAUUUACAUUAGUUGAAGUGUUUUUCAUUACAAAAUAUGUAUUUAAGAUUGAAAUUGUUGACAGUAUUUCUUACAUAAUUAAUUUUUCGU